rnacentral:rRNA from 1 species
UCCGUAGGUGAACCUGCGGAAGGAUCAUUACAGAGAACCUGCCCUUCGGGGUAGAUCUCCCACCCUUUGCUUACCUUACCUUUGUUGCUUUGGCAGGCCCGUCCCCCGGGACCGCCGGCUUCGGCUGGCCCGCGCCUGCCAGAGGACCCCCAACUCUUGUUUAAUUGUCGUCUGAGUACCAACAUAAUCGUUAAAACUUUCAACAACGGAUCUCUUGGUUCUGGCAUCGAUGAAGAACGCAGCGAAAUGCGAUAAGUAAUGUGAAUUGCAGAUUUCAGUGAAUCAUCGAAUUUUUGAACGCACAUUGCGCCCUCUGGUAUUCCGGAGGGCAUGCCUGUUCGAGCGUCAUUACAACCCUCAAGCUCUGCUUGGUAUUGGGCGUCGCCGGCUUCCCGGCGCGCCUCAAAGUCAGUGGCGGUGCCGUCCGGCUCCAAGCGUAGUAAACUACUCUCGCUCUGGAGCUCCGGGCGGUUGCCUGCCAGCAACCCCAAUUUUACCACAGGUUGACCUCGGAUCAGGUAGGGAUACCCGCUGAACUUAAGCAUAUCAAUAAGCGGAGGAAAAGAAACCAACAGGGAUUGCCUCAGUAACGGCGAGUGAAGCGGCAUCAGCUCAAAUUUGAAAUCUGGCCUCACGGUCCGAGUUGUAAUUUGUAGAGAAUGCUUCGGGCGAGGUCCGGUCUAAGUUCCUUGGAACAGGACGUCGUAGAGGGUGAGAAUCCCGUAUGCGACCGGUCGCCUCCGCCCAUGUGAAGCUUCUUCGACGAGUCGAGUUGUUUGGGAAUGCAGCUCAAAAUGGGUGGUAUAUUUCAUCUAAAGCUAAAUACUGGCCAGAGACCGAUAGCGCACAAGUAGAGUGAUCGAAAGAUGAAAAGCACUUUGGAAAGAGAGUUAAACAGUACGUGAAAUUGUUGAAAGGGAAGCGCUUGCAACCAGACUUGCGCGCAGCCGAUCACCCGGUGUUGCUGCAUAAUA